rnacentral:ncRNA from 1 species
AAGAUGGAAUUUUAAGGAAUGUAUAACAACUCACCUGCCGAAGCAAUUAGCCCUGAAAAUGGAUCGCGCUGAAGCGUCGAGCCUAUAUUCGGCCGCGUGCGGGCUCGUCGCGUACGUCGCCACGAAGCUUUGACGAAUAGGAGAGUCACGGUGGUGUGCGCAGAAAGGUCUGAGCGUGAGUCUGCCUGGAGCUGCCGUCGAUGCACAUCUUGGUAGUAAUAAAUAUUCCAGCGAGGCCCUGGAGGACUGACGUGGAGAAGGAUUUCGCAUGAACUGCCGUUGCAUACGAGUCAGUCAAUCCUAAGCCAUAGGAGAAAUCCUAUGUCACUGAUGGCAUACAAUACUCUAAUGUACAACUCGAGCAACUCUGCAAAGAGGAGAGAGAGUGACACACGUCCGUCAGGCGAAAGAAAAUCCAAUUCCUAUUCCGGAACCCGGCAGCAGAACCGCAUACAAUUCGGGCUCUUGUAAGAAUGUUUGUUGGGAUAACCCAAAAUGACCUGGAGACGCCAUCGGAAGAUCCGAGAAGAGUCUUCUUUUCUGUAAAAGUGUUUGAGUUUCCUGGAAACCUCUAGCAGGGAAAUAGGAUUUGGAACGCGAACAGCACCGUAAUUACGGCGAUGUCCGGAUCUUUCCCUCGGACUUUGAAAAUCCAGGAGAGAGCCACGUGGAGGUGUCGCGUCGGCCCAUAUUCACAGCAGGCCUUCAAAGUAAAGAGCCUCUAAUUGAUAUUCUAAUAUAGGUAAGGGAA